GCACUGCCGAGGAGACCCACAAUAGGACGAAACGGCCGUCCAGUGC
rnacentral:hammerhead_ribozyme from 1 species